rnacentral:rRNA from 1 species
AACGAACGCUGGCGGCAGGCCUAACACAUGCAAGUCGAGCGAAGCCUUCGGGCUUAGCGGCGGACGGGUGAGUAACGCGUGGGAACGUGCCCUUUGGUAGGGAAUAGCCCUGGGAAACUGGGAGUAAUACCGUAUGUGGUCGAGAGACGAAAGAUUUAUCGCCAAAGGAUCGGCCCGCGUUGGAUUAGGUAGUUGGUGGGGUAAUGGACUACCAAGCCGACGAUCCAUAGCUGGUUUGAGAGGAUGAUCAGCCACACUGGGACUGAGACACGGCCCAGACUCCUACGGGAGGCAGCAGUGGGGAAUCUUAGACAAUGGGGGAAACCCUGAUCUAGCCAUGCCGCGUGAUCGAUGAAGGCCUUAGGGUUGUAAAGAUCUUUCAGUGGGGAAGAUAAUGACUGUACCCACAGAAGAAGCCCCGGCUAACUCCGUGCCAGCCGCCGCCGUAAUAC